GAAGGAUCCCAGGAGGAACUGGAAUGAAAGCUGACUGCUCUUUGGACUUGUCCUGUGGCAAGUUACACUGUGUCUUUUCAAAGGACAGGCAAAUUCAUUCCAUUUCCCACAUGGCUCAACUUCACGAAUUUGCUGGUUGAAGGCAAUAGCAGGUAUUGAAGAAAAUGAACAUCUGACAAGCAUGGCUGCCCACCAGCAUCUAGCCAGAUUUGGCAGAUCAUGAAUGAAGAGAUUAAAUAGGACAAAUGUUAACAUCCCCCCUCCGAACUUAAUGCUGUUUUAUCAUUCCACUUUGUUUAUGGCACUUCAAUUUCCAAUCUAGGUGCUGGCCUGACAUCUGGUGGCCGAGACAGCUGUAGCAACACUCAGAAAGCUUCAAGACUAGAAGCUACUUGCAAGUUUGGCAGAUGUGAGUGCAAUGUGAGUGCUAAAAGGGUAGGCAACCCUCUCAAAAGCCUGUCCAAAAAGAGCAUGACUUCAGGGUGGUAUGGGCACAGAGUCUGUCCAUGCAGAGAGCAGCUUGCUGGAUCGGGGCCUAAAACAUAGCAUCUGAAACCCUCUGUAUCUAAGGGACAGCCAAAGUGUAAGAAGGCAAACAGACAGAGAGAAGGUAAGUGAUUUAUAAGUCACACAGCAGGUCAGUUGUAGAGCCAGGAAUAGAACCUAUAUCCCCAUAGUCAGGGCUGA